UCAUAUCAUGUUGUAAAAGUCUCAUUAAAAGCUAUAGAAUCCCAUGAAGCAAAUGGUAAUACAAUAUUAGUAUUGAACAUAAAAGGGUUAUCAAAAAACAAAUAAUUUUAAAAAAGCAUACAUUUAAACAGCAGUUUAAUCUUUUCUUUGGUGCAAUGUUAUUCAGGCUUAUUUACAGCAGGGGGAGGAGUUUAGCGCACACUAUACAGCAUACAGCUGAGUAAAGAUGAGCAUCACUCAACACAGUGUGGAUCAGCUCAUCUGUUUUUAGCUUGUUCUUACUAGUUCAGUGAGUGAUCAUGUUGAUCUAUAUUAUUAUACUGCUGUCAUCAACUGAAGGUUCCAGAGCCUCAGAAGUCAUCGGUCCAAAAAGUGAGAGAGAAUUUGCUCUUGAGGGUGACAAUGUGACACUCUCCUGUAACUACAGCGGUUCUGCUCGUGGUGUUCACUGGUAUCGUCAAUAUACAGGAUCACAACCACAGUUCAUCAUACUGGAGGAUUCACGGGUCAUAACUCCAGCUGAUCCACCCAUUCCAGGAAUAACCAUCAAUCACAGAAAAACUGAAAAUCAUGUGGAUCUGAUCAUGUCCUCUGCUAAAACAUCAGAUUCAGCGCUGUACUACUGUGCUCUGAGGCCCACAGUCACAGGAAACCCUUUAGCACUGUACAAAAACAGCCAUAUCAAGCCUUGUUAGAAACGUACAAACGUUGGACUUAACAGCACAAAGGUCAAAAGAAAGAGAGAAAUAGUGCGACUGCUAGUAAUGAAAUUAACUUUUUUAUUAAGCUGACUCUAAUAGAAAGUAACUCUGAAGGCACCCACUGAAA